CUAGAAUAGAGCAAGGGAACGCCCCGCGCACGGAGCCAGUAUAAGACCGGCGACGCCUUGCAACGGGUUUGGCACAGAUUUCCCCUCUCGAGCAGGACAGAUACAAAGUAUAGACAGUAUCCCAGGGCUCCUCAGAAUCUUUGCUUCUUGUGCGAUUAAACGAAGAUGAAGGUCUAUAAUGGUUAUACCACAAGAAACCCACGAAGGAAUACACCUGUUUUCCUUCCCGUUACUGUGACACCAGAAGCCAUAUCACGCGGAGUAUACAUCUAAUUGAUAAACCCGGAGGGUAUGACGGGUCACCAUAACAUUACUACAGAUCACAUCACGGGGAGACAAAACUUCAAGGUUCAUAUCUCAGAAAGGAUCUGAGUCCUGAGGCUGCUCCUCCCUCUGAGUCCUGAGGCUGCUCCUC